rnacentral:rRNA from 1 species
UACGUAGGGGGCUAGCGUUGUCCGGAAUCAUUGGGCGUAAAGCGCGUGUAGGCGGCCAGAAAAGUCCGCUGUGAAAACUCGAGGCUCAACUUCGAGCUGUCGGUGGAAACUUUCUGGCUAGAGUCCGGAAGAGGAGAAUGGAAUUCCUGGUGUAGCGGUGAAAUGCGCAGAUAUCAGGAAGAACACCCGUGGCGAAGGCGGUUCUCUGGGACGGUACUGACGCUGAGACGCGAAAGCGUGGGGAGCGAACAGG